CUGUGCAAAGGUAGCAUAAUCAUUAGUUUUUUAAUUGAAAGCUGGAAUGAAUGGUUUAAUAAGAAAAAAACUGUCUCGAUUUUAAUUUUUGAAUUUUAUAUUUAAGUUAAAAAGCUUAAAUUUUUUAAAAAGACGAGAAGACCCUAUAGAGUUUGAUAAGAAUAAUUUAAUUUUUAUUAAGAUUUAAAUUUAAAAUUAAAUUAGAUUGUUUUAUUGGGGUGAUAUAAAAAUUGAAUAAACUUUUUAUUUAUAAUAUCAUAAUUUAUGUAUAAUUGAUCUUGAUUUUUGGAUUGUAAGAUAAAUUACCUUAGGGAUAACAGCGUAAUUUUUUUUGAGAGUUCAUAUCGAAAGAAAAGUUUGCGACCUCGAUGUUGGAUUAAAAUUAAAUUUUGGCGUAGAAGUUAAAAAUUUAGGUCUGUUCGACUUAAAUUACU
rnacentral:rRNA from 1 species